rnacentral:lncRNA from 1 species
AAUUUUAGCUUAACCUUUAGGUUUCUUGUAUACACUACUAAAAUAUUAUGGACGUUCAAACUUAAGAUCACUAAUCUACAAUGUCUUUUUUAACUGAACUAGAUUUAAUUGUCGACAUAAACUAAUAUUUAACUCUAAGAAAAUGAUGCAAUCAUGCAAAUGGCUUGGACAAGACUUGCAUGAGUUGUGUAGGGCACCGUCUCUUUAUCUUCUAAUUGGUUGUGGGAAAGCAAUUAUGCUGACC